rnacentral:rRNA from 1 species
UGGUGUCACUGGUUCCUCCCUUCUGAAGAACCGUCAUGCCAUUCAGUUGGUGUGGCGGGGAAUCAGGACUGUUACUUUGAAAAAAUUAGAGUGUUUAAAGCAGGCUCGCGCUUGAAUACAUUAGCAUGGAAUAAUGAAAUAGGACGUUUGACCCUAUUUUGUUGGUUUCUAGGAUCGACGUAAUGAUUAAUAGGGAUAGUUGGGA